AGGCCAAACAACGAAGUGGUGACUCACUGAGUCCUUGCACUCUCGAAGGAAACAACCACCUUAGAAAAAACCAUGCACUUUCGGCGGGGGCUUAAUCACAUUAGGUUCUCUGUGUAGCAUAUUAAUGCCUGCCACAAGGGUGCUAUCAACCAGAAUCUUCAGUGAAUCUUCUUUGUCUGAAUUGCACAUAUCUCAGAGGAGAAUAGAGAAUGUGUAAGGACACCGUGGCCCAUGCAUUGACACUGUCAUAGAUAAAGCAUAGUUACUCGCUAUCAGGUUGUCAUCUCUUCUUUGUGGAGGAGGAGGCCAGAUAAAGCCCAAGCCCUGAGAUGGAAGGUGGAAGGAGGCCUCCCUCCCCACCUACCUGUAGGACACACCACAAGGAGGCGCUGAUGAGCUGUAAAGCCAACAGGGCAAGGCCAAACGCAGCGCUAGCUAUAAUUAGCCCCAACAGGCCUCAAACCAACACUCAACCUAAUUUAAUCAGCACAAGCACCAUUUUCUAGGAACGGGUUAGCCUCAGAUCCCAGGCCCCAGUUAGGGCUAGAAUAGGAGCUGGAAGUUAAUACUGUAUUGACUGAAGGUGGCAGGAGUUAUACUGUAGUAGGCACUGUCAGCUCCCUCAGCAACUGUCAUUCCAUCCUUCUCCUCUGCUGACAAAAAAAUAAAUUUUGCCCAGGUUCAGGUGGCAAUGUUUAUGAAUGGUGAAACUGAUUAGUCUAAAUUGGCCACGGUCUACCCACAGCCAAAGUCCAGGUUCCACCUCCUUUAGCAAGCCUUCUCGAAGGACUCCAUGCCUCACUGAUCUUCCUCCUCACUGAACGCCACAGACCAAGAACCCAUAAUGUCCUCCUCAGGAACCAGCACAGUCCCAAAGUCCACAGAACUCAAAAGAACGCUGGUAGAUUGAUUUGCUCUACCAUCAUCUCAACAGUGCUUUCCUCGGGUGUAGCAUGAUGCAU
rnacentral:lncRNA from 1 species